AACGAACGCUGGCGGCAUGCCUAACACAUGCAAGUCGAACGAGACCUUCGGGUCUAGUGGCGCACGGGUGCGUAACGCGUGGGAACCUGCCCUUAAGUUCGGAAUAACUCCCCGAAAGGGGUCCUAAUACCGGAUAAUGUCUUCGGACCAAAGAUUUAUCGCCUUUGGAUGGGCCCGCGUUGGAUUAGCCAGUUGGUAGGGUAAAAGCCUACCAAGGCGACGAUCCAUAGCUGGUCUGAGAGGAUGAUCAGCCACACUGGGACUGAGACACGGCCCAGACUCCUACGGGAGGCAGCAGUGGGGAAUAUUGGACAAUGGGCGAAAGCCUGAUCCAGCAAUGCCGCGUGAGUGAUGAAGGCCUUAGGGUUGUAAAGCUCUUUUACCCGGGAUGAUAAUGACAGUACCGGGAGAAUAAGCUCCGGCUAACUCCGUG
rnacentral:rRNA from 1 species